UACAGAGGUCCCGAGCGUUGUUCGGAUUCACUGGGCGUAAAGGGUGCGCAGGUGGGUUGGCAAGUUCGAUGUGAAAGCCCCGGGCUUAACCCGGGAAUGGCAUUGGAAACUGCUGAUCUGGAGGAUCGGAGGGGGGACUGGAAUUCUUGGUGUAGCAGUGAAAUGCGUAGAUAUCAAGAGGAACACCAGUGGCGAAGGCAGGUCUCUGGGCCACUACUGACGCUGAGAAGCGAAAGCAUGGGGAGCGAACAGG
rnacentral:rRNA from 1 species